rnacentral:lncRNA from 1 species
ACCCCCCCCACAGAGACCCCCCCCAUUGACCCCCCAGAGAGACCCCCCCAAUAGCCCCCCAAGAGGACCCCCCCCCCAAUAGACCCUAAAGAGACCCCCCCAAUGGACCCCAAAAGAGACCCCCCCUCAUUGGACCCCCCCAUAGAGACCCGCCCAUAGCUUGCCCAUAGCUGCCCCAUAGAUGACCCCAUAGAUACCCUUAAAGCACCCCAUAUCUGUCCCAUAGCUGCCCCCAUAGAUUACCCAUAGCUGCCCCAUUGGCUGCCCCAUAGCUGCCCCAUAAGAUACCCAUAGCUGCCCCAUUAUUGCCCCAUAGAUACCCCAUAGCUGCCCAAGAUACCCCAUAUCUGCCCCCAUAGCUGCCGCCAUAUCUGCCCCAUAUCUACCCAUAGCUGCCCCAUAGAUACCCCAUUAGCUGCCCCAUAUCUGCCCCAAGAAGAUAACCCCAUAUCUUGCCCCUAGAUAACCCCAUAGCUGCCCAUAGCUGGCCCCAUAGAUACCCCCAUAGCUGCCCCAUAGUGCCCCAUAUCUACCCCAUAGCUGCCCCAUAGAUACCCCAUAGCUGCCCCAUAGAUACCCUAUAUCUGCCCUAUAUCUGCCCCAUAGCUGCCCCACAUCCGCCCCAUAGCUCACCUUGCAGAAGCUGCAGUAGCUGCAGAUGGAUCCCGGCCUGUAACGUCCAUCACCACCAUCAUCAUCAUCAUCAUCAUCUUCAUCCUCCUCCGAGCUGCCCCCACCACCAUCAUCAUCAUCAUCAUCCUCCUCCUCGGAGCUCACGGGGUCGCCAUGGUGAUGGUUGCCAUGGUGACGAGCAUCCUGGUUGCCAUGGUGAUGGACAUCAUGGUCGUCAUGGUGAUGGACAUCAUGGUCGUCAUGGGGAUGAGCAUCCUCGUGGUCGUCAUGGUGAUGGACAUCCUGGUUGCCAUGGUGAUGAGCAUCCUCCUGGUUGCCAUGGUGACGCCCCUCCCCCCCGUCACCACGAGGCUCUUCCCUCCUCCCCUCCCCCUCCCCCCCCCCACCCUUUCAUCCACCCCUUCGAUUUUCGCAAUAAUCAUCACCCACUGUUGGCGCGUCUCCAACCCCGCUCCCCCUCCAACCAUAACAUGGGCGAGUCCGCGUAGCACCACCAUUAACCCCCCCCCCAUUUCCAAACCCGGGGGGGGCAGGAGGAGCCCCGAGGAACAGCCAAAGGAUCCGACCCCCCAUAGCCAGAACAGCAUCCAGACGCAAAUUGAGGAAACAGCUUGCUUUCUAGCACCCCCCCACUGUCUCAGGGGGCGGGUGGGGCUGCAUAUUACUAUCUACCCCCCACCGCCCCUAUAG